CUAUAUAGUUUCCAACUAUCUUGCUAUUUUUUUUUACUUAAUUAGCUUAAUUUUGUAGCUCUUUAUUCUUUUAUUCUUAAGAAAUAUGAGUAUUUAUGCUAAGAGCAAAAAUUUUGAGAGAAAAAAAACUUAAUUUAAUAGCCGAAUUUUUGAUCCCGAAUUUUUGAUUGGCGAACGUAUAAUAUCCGUAUAAAUCACGUAUCCGAAUAAUUGGCGAAUCCGUUUUUUAGCCGUAUUUUUCAAUAAAUUUAAAAAUUAGAAGACGAAUUUUAUCCGAAUUAUACCCGUACCGAAUUUUUGCCGAAUCCGAAUUUACUAACUAUCGUCCCAACAUGGCAAUAAGUAAGUAUCAUGACCCGUUCUAUCAAUAUAUGAUGAUUAUGCUCUAUCAUGACAACCAAGUAUAUUAU
rnacentral:lncRNA from 1 species